rnacentral:lncRNA from 1 species
UGAAACUUUGGUGAGCAGCAAGCAUACUAGUAACUUGUUUCGUUUCUUUUAUAGAAAAAAAAUGAAUUAGUGAACGGGAAGAAGGCUUGAUUGUUGAAUCAGAAGCAUACUGUCAUAUUCUUUUGAAAAUAUAUGCCAGAGUAAAUGUGCAUGAUGUUCCAUAGUUCCCAAUUUAUUUGAAAGGCAACCAAGUAUAUAGGGGACAUUAAAACCUGAAACUGACCAGUUCCAAAAUCAGUUGUUUGGCAGCAUCGCAGUGCUUGUUUUGCAUUAUCAGUUAAAAAAAUUGUGUUCAUAUUAUUAGGAUAGUAGAAAAUUUUGUGACUUUUUUACAAAAUGGCGCCAUCCUGGUGACUCUUGAGGACCAACUCAUUUCCUUUGAGCUUUCAUUCAAGAAGAAUAUGCCUCUUCAACCGCAGAUGGGUGUCGUUCCUCACAUCUUCACCUGCCUGGUUCUAUUUGAAAUCUAUAUAUUAGGAUGCUUGAAGUGAGUGCAUGAUGCUGAGAGUAAUUUUAAUUUGACUUGAGAAGGAUCAUAAGUAGGAUAUUGUCACGUGAUGACCUUCGAUGAUUUCCCUGCAGGGUUCUGCAGUGAACACUAAGACGUUCUGAAGAACUUCAAAGAAUCUCUGGAUCUUGAAGCAGUCCUGUAUCACGGAACUUUUCUAGGGUUCAUGCAGAGAAGGCAUGCUAAUCUAGGGGCGAGUAAACAGGCGAGGUCCUAACUCUAGCUUACGGUGGUGUUCUUGUAGGCCCAUAGCCUCUAUCUGAUGAUGUCUGAGAAGUUUAUCUACGAAAGUACCCAAUGGAAGAAGGUAGCUUAUCUCAAAGGGAAUGUUCAGGAGACUUGGAGCAGAGCUUUCCGUGCUUCAUGGUGAAAUCAAGCCACAGAAUUUGAAGGUAGGCUCUCAUGUCGCUCUACAUUAGUGGGUGCUUGUAUUUGUAAUGACUAGAUUGUCUUUGGGAACUCUCUUCUCUGGCUUCUUGGUCAGUUCCAUGUGAAGCACUCUCUUCAAUAUUAUGUUGAAUGCUUUGAACCGGCCUGCCUGUGUUCAGUCUCCUCCGUAGUCUUCAUGCUCUUGUUUUUACAGCUCUCAUCAGGAGAGGGUUCACGAUACCAAAGUCCAAUCCAAACCAUGGUGAAGGUCACUUCUCUAUUUAUCCUUCUGAAUGAUUUAAGCUGUAGCUUAUGGAAAUUUUACAGAAUGCUGCAUUCUUUAAAAAUGUUUAACAGGGUUUACGAAAAAAUAUCUCACUUCAGAGUUAUUCUCAAAAUGUGGGUUCUU